rnacentral:rRNA from 1 species
UACGGAGGGUGCGAGCGUUGUCCGGAAUCACUGGGCGUAAAGGGCGCGUAGGCGGAUAUUUAAGUUAGAGGUGAAAGCCCAGGGCUCAACCCUGGAAUAGCCUUUAAUACUGGAUAUCUUGAGUUCGGGAGAGGUGAGUGGAACUCCGAGUGUAGAGGUGAAAUUCGUAGAUAUUCGGAAGAACACCAGUGGCGAAGGCGACUCACUGGCCCGAUACUGACGCUGAGGCGCGAAAAGCGUGGGGGAGCAAACAGG